GCGAAGAACCUUACCUACUCUUGACAUCCAGAGAACUUAGCAGAGAUGCUUUGGUGCCUUCGGGAACUCUGAGACAGGUGCUGCAUGGCUGUCGUCAGCUCGUGUUGUGAAAUGUUGGGUUAAGUCCCGCAACGAGCGCAACCCUUAUCCUUGUUUGCCAGCGAGUAAUGUCGGGAACUCCAGGGAGACUGCCGGUGAUAAACCGGAGGAAGGUGGGGACGACGUCAAGUCAUCAUGGCCCUUACGAGUAGGGCUACACACGUGCUACAAUGGCGCAUACAGAGGGCGGCCAACUUGCGAAAGUGAGCGAAUCCCAAAAAGUGCGUMGKRGUCCGGAUUGGAGUCUGCAACUCGACUCCAUGAAGUCGGAAUCGC
rnacentral:rRNA from 1 species